AUGUUUGAUGUUCUAACGUGGACCCGUAAUCCGGGUUGCGGACAGUGUCUGGUGGGUAGUUUGACUGGGGCGGUCUCCUCCUAAAGAGUAACGGAGGAGCACGAAGGUUGGCUAAUCCUGGUCGGACAUCAGGAGGUUAGUGCAAUGGCAUAAGCCAGCUUGACUGCGAGCGUGACGGCGCGAGCAGGUGCGAAAGCAGGUCAUAGUGAUCCGGUGGUUCUGAAUGGAAGGGCCAUCGCUCAACGGAUAAAAGGUACUCCGGGGAUAACAGGCUGAUACCGCCCAAGAGUUCAUAUCGACGGCGGUGUUUGGCACCUCGAUGUCGGCUCAUCACAUCCUGGGGCUGAAGUAGGUCCCAAGGGUAUGGCUGUUCGCCAUUUAAAGUGGUACGCGAGCUGGGUUUAGAACGUCGUGAGACAGUUCGGUCCCUAUCUGCCGUGGGCGCUGGAGAACUGAGGGGGGCUGCUCCUAGUACGAGAGGACCGGAGUGGACGCAUCACUGGUGUUCGGGUUGUCAUGCCAAUGGCACUGCCCGGUAGCUAAAUGCGGAAGAGAUAAGUGCUGAAAGCAUCUAAGCACGAAACUUGCCCCGAGAUGAGUUCUCCCUGAGACUUUAGGUCUCCUGAAGGAACGUUGAAGACGACGACGUUGAUAGGUCGGGUGUGUAAGUGUAGCGAUACAUUGAGCUAACCGAUACUAAUGAACCGUGAGGCUUAACCUU
rnacentral:rRNA from 1 species